GAAAGAUGGUAAUAAUAAGUUGUAUAGGGUGUAACGGUUUGUCAAAUGUUUUCGAAAGAAUCAUUUGAUUUUGCAGUUUGCCUAUAUAUAAUGCACUUGUUGCCAUUGUGCUGAUACAAUUGAUUGAGAUUUUUGAAAUUGCAUUAGAGGGCAUAUCUUCGGAUGUGUAUCCUGGUGCAAUGGAUAAAAUUUUUGAUUAAUUGUCCUUCAUGGAUAAAAGAUGGUAUUUGACUGGUUAUGUAUAAGAGUUAACGCAUGCGUUGGCUUUUUUGCWUGGCUUGUUUGAAUGCUUAAUGAUAUCUAUUGAAUAUCAGUAUAAAAGACAAUCACCUAUAUGUCCCGUCUUGAAACACGGACCAAGGAGUUUAUUGUAUGUGCGAGUCAUUGAGUGUUCAAAACUCAUUGGCGUAAUGAAAGUAAAGUAUUCUUUAUGAAUAUGAUAUAUGAUUGUCUUUUCUACGGAAAGGCAAGCAGUAUAGUCCCAUCUAAUUUGCUUGCAAAUGGGUGGAGAUAGAGCAUAUGCAAUGAGACCCGAAAGAUGGUGAACUAUGCCUGAGCAGGAUGAAGUCAGGGGAAACUCUGAUGGAAGUCCG
rnacentral:rRNA from 1 species